UGGUUCUGGCAUCGAUGAAGAACGCAGCGAAAUGCGAUAAGUAAUGUGAAUUGCAGAAUUCAGUGAAUCAUCGAAUCUUUGAACGCACAUUGCGCCCCUUGGUAUUCCGAGGGGCAUGCCUGUUCGAGCGUCAUUAUAACCACUCAAGCCUCGGCUUGGUCUUGGGGUUCGCGGUCUCGCGUCCCUUAAAAUCAGUGGCGGUGCCGUCUGGCUCUAAGCGUAGUAAUUCUCUCGCUAUAGGGUCCCGGUGGUUACCUGCCAGAACCCCCCAUAUUUUACCGGUUGACCUCGGAUCAGGUAGGGAUACCCGCUGA
rnacentral:misc_RNA from 1 species